UUAGCGGAUGACUUGUGGCUGGGGGUGAAAGGCCAAUCAAACCGGGAGAUAGCUGGUUCUCCCCGAAAGCUAUUUAGGUAGCGCCUCGUGAAUUCAUCUCCGGGGGUAGAGCACUGUUUCGGCAAGGGGGUCAUCCCGACUUACCAACCCGAUGCAAACUGCGAAUACCGGAGAAUGUUAUCACGGGAGACACACGGCGGGUGCUAACGUCCGUCGUGAAGAGGGAAACAACCCAGACCGCCAGCUAAGGUCCCAAAGUCAUGGUUAAGUGGGAAACGAUGUGGGAAGGCCCAGACAGCCAGGAUGUUGGCUUAGAAGCAGCCAUCAUUUAAAGAAAGCGUAAUAGCUCACUGGUCGAGUCGGCCUGCGCGGAAGAUGUAACGGGGCUAAACCAUGCACCGAAGCUGCGGCAGCGACGCUUAUGCGUUGUUGGGUAGGGGAGCGUUCUGUAAGCCUGCGAAGGUGUGCUGUGAGGCAUGCUGGAGGUAUCAGAAGUGCGAAUGCUGACAUAAGUAACGAUAAAGCGGGUGAAAAGCCCGCUCGCCGGAAGACCAAGGGUUCCUGUCCAACGUUAAUCGGGGCAGGGUGAGUCGACCCCUAAGGCGAGGCCGAAAGGCGUAGUCGAUGGGAAACAGGUUAAUAUUCCUGUACUUGGUGUUACUGCGAAGGGGGGACGGAGAAGGCUAUGUUGGCCGGGCGACGGUUGUCCCGGUUUAAGCGUGUAGGCUGGUUUUCCAGGCAAAUCCGGAAAAUCAAGGCUGAGGCGUGAUGACGAGGCACUACGGUGCUGAAGCAACAAAUGCCCUGCUUCCAGGAAAAGCCUCUAAGCAUCAGGUAACAUCAAAUCGUACCCCAAACCGACACAGGUGGUCAGGUAGAGAAUACCAAGGCGCUUGAGAGAACUCGGGUGAAGGAACUAGGCAAAAUGGUGCCGUAACUUCGGGAGAAGGCACGCUGAUAUGUAGGUGAAGUCCCUCGCGGAUGGAGCUGAAAUCAGUCGAAGAUACCAGCUGGCUGCAACUGUUUAUUAAAAACACAGCACUGUGCAAACACGAAAGUGGACGUAUACGGUGUGACGCCUGCCCGGUGCCGGAAGGUUAAUUGAUGGGGUUAGCGCAAGCGAAGCUCUUGAUCGAAGCCCCGGUAAACGGCGGCCGUAACUAUAACGGUCCUAAGGUAGCGAAAUUCCUUGUCGGGUAAGUUCCGACCUGCACGAAUGGCGUAAUGAUGGCCAGGCUGUCUCCACCCGAGACUCAGUGAAAUUGAACUCGCUGUGAAGAUGCAGUGUACCCGCGGCAAGACGGAAAGACCCCGUGAACCUUUACUAUAGCUUGACACUGAACAUUGAGCCUUGAUGUGUAGGAUAGGUGGGAGGCUUUGAAGUGUGGACGCCAGUCUGCAUGGAGCCGACCUUGAAAUACCACCCUU
rnacentral:rRNA from 1 species